rnacentral:rRNA from 1 species
AGUGAACGCUGGCGGUAGGCCUAACACAUGCAAGUCGAACGGCAGCACAGUAAGAGCUUGCUCUUACGGGUGGCGAGUGGCGGACGGGUGAGGAAUACAUCGGAAUCUACUUUUUCGUGGGGGAUAACGUAGGGAAACUUACGCUAAUACCGCAUACGACCUACGGGUGAAAGCAGGGGAUCUUCGGACCUUGCGCGAUUGAAUGAGCCGAUGUCGGAUUAGCUAGUUGGCGGGGUAAAGGCCCACCAAGGCGACGAUCCGUAGCUGGUCUGAGAGGAUGAUCAGCCCCACUGGAACUGAGACACGGUCCAGACUCCUACGGGAGGCAGCAGUGGGGAAUAUUGGACAAUGGGCGCAAGCCUGUUCCAGCCAUACCGCGUGGGUGAAGAAGGCCUUCGGGUUGUAAAGCCCUUUUGUUGGGAAAGAAAAGCAGCAGGUUAAUACCCCGCUGUUCUGACGGUACCCAAAGAAUAAGCACCGGCUAACUUCGUG